UGAGCAAAGAGCCACUCCUGCCUCCAGCCCGCCAUGGGGAUCAGGCUCCUCUGCAGUGUGACCUUUUGCUUCCUGGGAGUAGGCCUUGUGGACGCACAAGUAACCCAAACCCCGAGACAUCUCAUCAAACAAGUGGGAGCAAAAGUUGUGAUAGAAUGUUCACAAAAUAUGGACCACGAAAGAAUGUUCUGGUAUCGACAAGACCCGGGUCUGGGGCUGCAGCUGCUCCACUGGUCAAGUACUGUUGACAAUAUUGAGCAAGGAGACAUCCCUUUCGGGUACAGCGUCUCUAGGCGGAGGAAAAAGGCCUUCCCCCUGACCCUGGAGUCUGCCAGCACCAACCAGACGUCUGUGUACCUCUGCGCCAGCAAUGUUAAUGGCAACCAGGCACAGCACUUUGGAGUUGGCACUCAACUCUCUGUCCUAGAGAACCUGGAAAAGGUCAAACCUCCCACGGUCACAGUGUUUGAACCAUCAGAAGCAGAGACCUCCCGCACCCAGAAGGCCACACUCGUGUGCCUGGCCACGGGCUUCUACCCCGACCACGUGGAGCUGAGCUGGUGGGUGAACGGGAAGGAGGUCCAGAAUGGGGUCAGCACGGACCCGCAGCCCUACAAGGAGCGGCCCAACGAGAAUGGCUCCAGCUACUGUCUGAGCAGCCGGCUGAGGGUGUCCUCUGCCUUCUGGCACAACCCUCGCAACCACUUUCGCUGCCAAGUCCAGUUCCACGGGCUCGGGGACGACGACAAGUGGGAAAACACCAGCCGGCCCAAACCCAUCACCCAGAACAUCAGUGACGAGACCUGGGGCAGAGCAGACUGUGGCUUCACUUCAGUGGCCUAUCAGCAGGGCAUCCUGUCUGCCACCAUCCUCUAUGAGAUCCUGCUGGGGAAGGCCACCCUGUAUGCCGUGCUGGUCAGCGCCCUGGUGCUGAUGGCCAAGGUCAAGAGAAAGGGUUCCUGAGACCAGCUCUGAAAAUGCAUCCUGAGUUGCUCAUCGUCCUUACCCUAGGUUCUCCUUGACGUGCUUCCAGUCGGCGUUUCUAAAAGUUAUUCUCUCUCCCCCUCUUAUCUCUUUCCUGAUGGGAUAUCUGUCCCUUCUCUAUGCUUUCCUGCAGACUGAGCUCCUCAACCCUGAAACUGAAAUAGACUUAAUAAAAGUGUCUUGCCUGGC